GGGUCUGGGCCACCAAUAUGAGAAUCCCUACCAAUUUUGAGUGCUCUGUGGGAAAGCUAAUGCAGCAAGAGCAUGAAAAAAAAUUGAGGAUGGCACAUGAUACAGAAAGCAGAAAGGAACCCAAGAGGAAGUCACACAUCAUGGAUCCAUGGAGCCCAACAUCACUGGGCUGUGUUGCCAAGAUGGCACAGCUCAGGCGUUGCUGCUGGAAGUGCUGGCACUUAGCUCCGGGAAAUCAGUGGGACUCACUGUGGAGCAAAGUAUUAUCAGCGAGGUCCCAGCAAGAAGUCACAGUGUAUUCUUCUCCAUUGCUCCCUUUGGAGUUCAUGUGUUCAGCCUUCUUUCUAAUGAUGGCAAUAAGCAGCUGUCAGCUUUAUCUGAUGAUGGUUGCUGCUUCACUGAUCUGCCUGCUUGAGUUAUAGGAUGCCAGGACCAAGCUGUCUUUUAUUACAUGAUGGAGACUCGGUCACUCUUACAGAAACUAUGAAUCCUGCCAGCUUCUGGUUUUUCAGUCUUCCAGUUGGAGAGGAGAGACACAGAUAUUUAAGACAGAUGCAACUUAGAUGCAACACGCUUUUAUCUACACUCUACAAGAGAGCAUCUUCAGACCCAGACAGUUCUGCUUCAUUUCAUCAUUAAGCACUACCUGCAAAAUCUUGAAGUGAGGCCACAGUACAUGGAAGCUUGGGUACCACUCAGAAAGGCUUGGCCAUCUUUGGGGGAGCUUGGUCAUGGCCUGUGUGAGGACAUGUGCAGAGGACACAGGCGGCGGUCACCCUCCUGCUCUCUGGAAGUCACCACAUGGAAAGCACAUGGAGACCCUUGAGUUCAGAAAAAAUGGGAAGAGGAGUCAAAACAAACAUCCAAGAAAUGCCAGUAAAGUAGAAGAAACCAAAGCAAACAGAAGCUAGAGGACAUAGAUCUCAUGACUGCUAUCCUGAAAAACCUGCUAUGUACCAGAUCCACAGGUGUGUGAGGCUGGAUGAUCAUCCUUCUGGUGGAAUGCAACAGUGAAGUACUCCAAGAGAGCGGAUGAAUCUGGAAAAAGGUAGAAGAUCGUGCUAAAAUGUAAUGUCUACAGGAAAGAGGAAGCUCUGCAUACAGCCAUGAGCAAAGCACAUUGAUGUUGACAUGUCCUGGUGUUUCUUACUCAGUUUGCGUCUGAGAGCAGUGGAAGGAAGACUCAGUGCGUGAUGCUGGAGUAUUAUGCAUCAUUUUACAGGCAAAGAUCAAACAUCUUUGUGUUUGCAAGGUUGGUUAGUCAGCUUCUGUGCAGAAACAGGAAAAGUGCUGACAAACUCAACAGAAGAAGUUCUGUCUUGUGAUGAAACAGCCCAUGUUCUAAUGACUGGUGACAGCAUGGAGAACUAAAAGUCUCAGGAGUGUGCCCUCCAGAAAACUUGUGAACAAAUAACGUCUCCAGAAGAUGUCUGAUGUAGUGUAAACAGUGGCAGAAGCAGGCCAAGCUGGAAGAAAAAAAAAGAAGAAAUAAAGGAAAUGAAGGUGAAUUUAUGCUUGGCCAGUAAGUCCAAAAUUAUGCUGGUGAGAUCAGACAGAAAGAUGGAGAGACAGCCAGCCUCCUGUGGCCCAUAAGGUUAAGGAUGGAGCCAAAAACAGAAAGGAACGACAAAUGGAGGCAGUUGGGAGUUCCGCCAAUAGAAAGCCCCCAGCCAAGCAGCGGAGAGGGAAGGAAAAGCUGGGGCUCAGUCACUCAAACAGACCACACUGCCUGUCAUGCCACUGCUGAAAUCAUAAGAUCACGGCAGAGUCUAAACAGAAACCAGGAAGUGGCACCGUAUGUACUACACAAAUCCCCAGCAUACUGGAACAAUACACUCACCUUGUCCACAAUGCAGAUCUGCUUCUUGCUUUGCACAUCAAGGAUUUCCACUUCAAAAGCUGCAGAAAACCAUGGGCAUUGCUGCCAUGCAAAAGACCCUGCUCCAAUUUGCUUUCUGCUGUGACUUUCCACUGAGAGCAAACCACGUACGAGCACUGCAGAUGCUGUAUGAGAGUCCAUCGGCUCAGAAGUCUUUGUGCCAGAGCCCUUGGCACAAUGUCAGGCCCAAGAGGAACUGGCUGUGCCUAUGGAAAAGACAGCACACAAGGAUUCCGCAGCAUUGGUUAACAAAGAUCUCACCCUACUGCCUUUGGUUAAGUUUAAAGAGAACACCAGCUUUAAUACUGAACAUUGCACAGCCACUUGUACUUCCAUCCUUCACUUUAUCACACCAUGACUAUGCACUUAAAGGAGUAUUGCAAGGCAAAGUGGAAAAGAGACCACUCAGAUGUCUCCGAAAUAGCCCUUGAACUUAGGCACAACCCUAAGUACAAAAGCUACUUUGGUUCAGCCACUGUGCAUCUAAAGAUGAGCACAAUUAAAACAUUCAGAACAAGCAAAACUCCCUUAAUAGAGAAAAUACAGACAGAAUUUCAGGAGCCAAAGCAUUCACCAUGUCUCAUGACCCAUGAAGAGCCAGUGGUAAUGUAAUAUACUUGACUCAAAUCAGCCUGAGAAUGAGCCAGCUGCCAGGCAUGAGGGCACUAACAGCCUCUGAUUGCCCUAAUCAGCCCCUCCUGGGGCAGCCUCCACCCAUGGAUCUAUAGAAACCCAAGUCUGAACCCUCCACUUCUUUUUGUGAGCUGUGUUGUAAAGGGACUGAGGUUAGCCCUGCUCUCUGCUGUACUUGAGGUGCUUGUCUUGGGAGCUGCUUCAUUCCCCUCUGUCUGCCUGAAGGCCUCUGCAUUGUUGGUGGGACUGGUUGAUGUUACUUGCUCUCAUGUACUGCUUGGCAGUGUGAUUGCUAUGAAGAAGCUGCUGUAACCUGUUUCACUCCUUAUCCCCCUGAUUGGAGCAGCUCUGUUUUUACUGCGCCCUGCUGUUGGACUCCUGUCACCCAAGUAAGUGCCCUGUACUAAUUUUUUUCUUGUGUUGACUUGAUGCCUCUUACAGGGUAUCUAUGUGUGUGUGUCAGAGCGCUAUUUAUGGUCUCUGCGUUGCUUGACAAAGAUAGAGAGACUUGGGUUGCUUUGUGAGGGUUCCUAGAACCUGAGUAUCCCUGGACUGCAGGAUGGCAAAGCAGGGGCUUUAAGAGGAACCACCAAUGCUGAAAAAGUCUUGAGUAAAUACAUACCUUUAGAGAAAAGGAGGAUGUUUAAAUGAAGGUCUUGUUCUGUUUAUGUGCUGAUAUUUCUCUCUGGGAAAGACAAGUAACGGGAAAAGAUUCUUUGGAAGGUGUGAUGAUCUCUGGUUUUGUGUUCUUCCUUGUGCUUACUUUGCUUUAGGAGUAUGAGACAGUCUGACAGAUCUGAUGGAGCGCUGAUUCCAUCUCCUGGUCUCAGAAAGGAAAGUCAGAAUUUAAGUUAGACCUUAUUGCCACAGUGAAGCUCGCUAAGUCUCUUUCUCCUAAAUAUCAAAGCAGAGCCAUAAGGAACUAUAAAGAAAAAAUAUGUGAACUGUGUUUUUCCCCUAGAGUUUAAAUGUGAAGUUGUACAAAGAUUGGAAACUAAUUAAACUGGUUGUGUGAAUUUAGUUUAGGACCUUGGGUCCUAGGAGAAAAUUUGACUUGUGUCGCUCUGAAUUCAAUUACAUUUUCACACUGACUGACACAAGCAGACUUUGCUUCUUGUUGUCUUGCCCAAGUAACCAUUUUCUGACUUUUCUCUUAAAACUAAGCUUCUACAGUGAUGCAACAAAUAACUUGUUUGAGUAGGUGUAUGUCUGAAGGGUCUUAACUGAGUAUCACAUCAUUUAUUAAACUAACUGGAGAUUCUGAAAGAUGAUGUUUUUUCUAAGCAGGAGAGGUAUUUUAACAUUUAAUAAAUACACUGUGGGAAAUGUCUAGCUGAUGGUCAGUCUUUGUUGCUGAACUGCAGUCAAGUCCUAGAUGUGUCGUGCUGCUCUACAGAAGGAUCACAUGCAGAGUUCUUUUUCCCUGACUUGCUUGCUCAGCUUCAAAAUUUAAGGUGCUGUUAAAUAGGAUCUCUUACAGUAAGUGUUGCUGGGGUUUUCAAACAGCUUUAAAAAGCUACCUCCCACCAACUCAAAGGGAGGAGAUGCUUGUAUCUGUAGAUAAAGUCAUCUGUGUCAGGGCAAGAAAAAGAGGAUGGAGUGCACUGUUUUUAAGUGAACCAGGAAGAUGGUCUUAACUAACUGGAAAAGCACUAGAAUAUUUUGGUAUGAUACUAAAAUUGCUUUUGUACUGUGAGAGGGCUAGCUUAUUGCAUUUUUUACUUGAGGGGAGUGAAAUAUGGGAAAGGUGAUCUGAAAAUGUUAUCUUGCUAUCUUGAUGUGUUUUGUAAUGGAUGAUUUUGUCUUCAUCUUGUAAGAUGACUUUGAGAAUCCCCUUCAUUGCUAUGGCAUGCAAGUGUAGCUGGAAGAGCACUUGAAACUAUCCAAGGUUUCUGAUAGGAAUUACCUUCUGCUUGUCUGACUCUUUCCACUCUUUCAUAUUUCUUAUGGAUUCCUGGUGACUUCUGUAAUGGAAAUUGCAUGUGGCAUGUCUUUCACACUCAUGGGUUUAUCAAGGUCAAGCUAACAAGUUCUCUUUUCCCAGCUUUUGACUUCAUGUGACAACCUGUAGUAAGUCUUAGUCACUUCAGGCAGAUGACUAGAUGCAUCCCACAAGACCAGGGAUGCUUUGUUAGAGUGAUAAAGUGGCUGUCAGACUGCUGGUGUUAAGUGCUGCUCAAAAUACCCAAAAAAUAAUGGGGAACUGACACAAGAAUUACGAUAAAAGGGGAAAGGAAACUUCAGGUUGGACCCAAGCACUGCUAGGAGCUUGGUCACCUUAUAAGGAGAACUGUACAAUUCAUUUGACUCAAUGUCCAAAUGGAGAUCAGUGGUGUCCCUCAGAGAUCAGUGCUGGGACUGAUGCUUUUUAGUAUCUUCAUCAUUGUGGGAUUGAGUGCCCCUGCAGCAAGUUUGCAAAUGACACCAAGCUGUGUGGUGUGGUCAACAUACCUGAGGGACUUGAUGCCAUCCACAGGGACCUAAACAGGCUGGAGCAGUGGGCCCAGGUGAAUCUCAUGAGGUUCAACAAAGCCAAGUGUAAGGUCAUGCACCUGGGUUCUGACAACUCCCAUUAUCAGUACAAGCUGGGGAAUGUAAGGAAGGAGCACAGCUCUGCUGAAAAGGACUUUAGGGUAUUUAAGUUCCUGUUCCUUAGCAGUAUAGAAAGAAGUUAAAAGGCUUUAUCAACUUGCAGGCUGUUCUCUCCCCCCCCGCAAAAAAAUCUGUACUUCCUGUUCAAUCUUUAUCCUAAAUCUUUAUUAAGACUGUUCCCUUUCCUUUAUGAAAGCUCAAGUAAAUGCUCUCUUAGAUACAUUUCAAGAAAAAUUCCUGUUUUGACUAUUAUGACAAAGACUUUACAGUUUCUUGUUUGCAUCAUUCUUUCUCCUUUGGAUAGUUUAGAUCAAAUCAGCAUAAAGAUAUUUCCCUUGUUUCUGGAAAUUACUCCAGUUUGCCUUUACACUGAAAUGUACAGCAACAAAAUAAGCUCUACUUUGAAAGACUAAAGCUUCUAAGACCCAUUUGUAAAUGUCAGGUAUCUGCAGAUGAUGUUGAUGAACACAAGUACACAAAAAUAAGCAGAAAGGCCAGAAAGAAAGGAGGCAGAGAGGACAGGCUAACAAUACCAAAAUAGCCUUCAAAGAUCAAGAGGUUGAAGCUGAGACAGAUGAAUAACAAUGGAACUAUAAGUUGCUAGUGCAAAACAAGAAGAGAAAUGGAGGCUAUAAAGAUGACAGUGACCCUCUUUUAAAUUCCCUAGCUCUCAGAGUAGAUUCUACUUGCAGUGUGUUGCUUUUAUUCCCGUGCCAGUAUUAGAUACAGAGCAGAGGUGGCUCCUGAGUUUUCAGAUGGAGUACAGGGAGGAUGGUCACAGAGCAAAGCAAUCUGUUUCUCCUGUCCUAAACUAUCCUCCAAUCUACCACAGAACUUGCUUUUACUCUGCUCAGUCAAUGCCAGCAGUAGUACUCAAGGACUAAAUUCUCACUUAAUUGAGGAAGGCUGUAGGGCUUUACUGCUGUAAUUGUUUAGCAGUUAUUUUUCCUGAAGCUGCAAUUAUCACUGUCAAUGCAAUUCACUGGGUAAUGGAGGAAGUCAGAGAAGUGUAUGCUUCAAAAACUCUCAGGUGCUACUUAUUAAUGGCAUUUAUUUAUGAUGUUCCUACUCUGCUCCUCUGUUGUUCCAGGCAGAAUUCAGAGUUCACCUUGGUUUAGACCACUAGCACAUCUUUCAUCUAUGCAUUUGAAGGAGUGAGUAUUGGUGGAUGAGGAAACAAAUGCACAAGUUAAAUAAGUGUAAUUACAAAACAAAAGCAAGAAGUUUUAAUUUCUUGGAUCUAACACUGACAGGCAUGUAGAACUGUUAGCAAAUCCAUGCUGGAUUAGGUAAAGCUAAACCAGAAAUGCCUGUGGGAUUUAGGUCUCACCAAAUCCAAGAGUUAUUUGGCACUCAGUAAUUUAUACUGCUUCCAUUUUUUCCCCUUUGUUCUCAUCUGGAACAUCGAUCCAAGCCCUUGACUAGCAGCUGCUCCUAGGACAGGCACUCUGCACAUUUCACCACAAUCUCUGAGACCUUCUAAUUUCAGAAUCUAGUCAGUUAUACUUUCCAUUAAAAUUCUGUGUAUAAAGAGCUAAUAAAUGUUUCAGUACAUUCUUCAUAAAGUCAUAAAAUCAAACAGACCAGCAGGCUGUUUCUGUCUGUGGCCUGUAACCAUCUGCAACAUUCACUGAUGUAUUUACAACCACCUAUAGGUAAGUGGCAUACGCGGUAUCCCCUCACGCUUGUAUUAACCUCCUACAGCCCCUUGCAGAACGUUUCUCUGAUACCAAGUUGGAUCAUAAUUCUAUUACUCAGAGGGUAUGAAUUUCCAUUUUCUCUCUAGAAAACAGAAGAUGUCUUUGUUUUUAGUAGCAGUUUAUUGCUUUGUUGCUUCUGAACUGGAAGGACAGAAGAAAAUUCUGUGCAGUGCAUGAACAUGUGCACUGCAUAAACCUGCUACAAACAUUCUGAUAAAGAUGAAAAUACUGGGUAAGGAGUGUUUGCAACCUGUUAAAAAGGUUCAGUGGUGCAAAGGCAAAUCUGUUACUAAAUUUGCUGAAAAGAAAGAAAGAGUAGUGAGUUACCCAAGUAAUUUCUGGGAUUAGAUUUGUAAAAUACAGAGCUUUCCUGGUAUAAUUAUUAUGUACACCCUCUAAUGCUCACUUAAUACUGCAGUGUUAGAUUCAUGUAAUAAACAGGUACAUUCAUGAUGUAAAACAACUGUGGACAGAACUUGCUUGAUGAUUUGUGUUGAUUUGAGGCUACUUUAUGCUUAUGCAAGGGUGCCAUCAAGUGGUACAGGAGGAGAACUUGGUAAAGAACUGAUCCUCUGGCUUAGAUCUAUUAAAUAGAAGAGACAGUCUCAUUAAGUGCCACUUUUUUAAAAACUGUAAAUAACAAGGGACAAAUAUUGAUAAACACCGCUGUAACACUGUGAGAUCCUCCAUACUUAUUCCAUUGCUUCUGGCCAUGCUGGAGCUGAUAAGCUUAGAAAUGUCUAAUUGGGGAUUAAUUUGGGGGAUCUAGCAAAGAACAUAGCUUCCAUCAAGAAGCUAUCUCAGCAUCUCAAACUUUAGUACAUUAAUCCAUAUGUUACUUUGAGGAAAGAUUUUACUGUUGUUUAGGUUUUUUUGUAGUUUUUGUUUUUUAAUACCAAGGUAACCUGAGCACACACAAAGCAAAGAGCUGUUUAGGCUCUUUUAUGCACGGUAAAAUUACUACAAGUUGCCUGCCCCUAAGUGUCAUUACAAGUAUGAUCCUAGGUGGUCAGAACAUAUGGGAAGUCUGCAUCAGUGCACAGCAUCACAGCUUCUCCAGCUCUAGAUGAGUGGAUGGUAAGACCAAGAGCAGCACACAGCAGAUCUGCUAGUUCUAAGGCUUGUCUGGCUUACAUAAGCUUUUAGCUUUUAUAUAUAUGUAUAUAAAUAUACAUGCACCUAUAUAAAUGCACAAACAUAGUGCUUAUGAAAGACCACUGCAUGUUCAGUUCUGGUAGAGCUAAGUAGCAGAUACCACCCUAUGCAGAGCUUACUGCUGGUAAUUGCCCUUGCUCCAGAUUUUUACAGCAUUUGUGUGAUGCAGCUGAGAUCAAUGCAGCACAAUUUUAAUUGAUUUCCUUUUGCCCCAUCUUAAUUGGAACUUUCUGGUAUUUGCUGAACAAAACUGUAAAACUCUUGAGAGCGAGCAUUCAGCAUUUUAAUACAGCCCUGCACCAUGAAUAGCAAGUCUACUUUGCUAACAUUCGAGAGUCCUUAAAAGGACUGAGACAAAGAUACCUUCCAGACACAAGGCGUGUUUCUAUUAGGUAACCUUGAACUCUACUCUCAAGUUUUUCCCUGCUUUAUACCUGUUGUAAAACACAUGUCAACACUGCCUGCUUCCUUUGAUGACAAAAACUAAUGUUAUGCAGUGAGAUGAAUAGUGUGGUUAUUGGGUAAUCCCAGCUGUAUUCAAGCAGAUGUUUCAAGUAACAGAAUAGGGAAAUGCCAAGGAAGGAGAACAGUAAGAGCAAUAACUGACAGACUCCAAAAGAGUGGUGAUGCAUUGGCACAGGCUGCCCAGGGAGGUGGUGCACUCACUGCCUCUCGAGGUGUUCAAGAGACAUGGAGACAUGGCACUGAGAGAUGUUUAGUAGGCAUUAUUGGUGGUAGAGGGACAGCUGGACUAUAUCAUGGUUGUCCAACCUUUUGGCUUGCCUGGGGCACACUGAGCGAGCAGGAAUUGUCUUGGGCCACAUAUAAAAUAUAUAUUGAAUUUAAGGUAUGUAAGUAACAAAACUUAAUGUAUUUUUAUUAAAACAGAGCAACAAAAACAUGAAACUAGUGGGAUGAUUGACCUUGUUUCUGUGAAACAAAUUAAUCAGGUUGUUUUGGUGGCAAUGGUUGCAAUUCUUGGUGAGUUCUGGGCAGGUAUUUGUCAGAUUCUUGAUGAGAUAUUAUUCUUCCUGUGCAUCAUCCCUGACAACAAUUGUUCACAAAUGUAAGUACUGCUAAAAAGUAAUGACAUGAAUAAAGCAUGACUGUGAAGCAAGGGAUAUUUUUUCUGGUAAGAUAGGUUAUAAAACACUCCGGUAAACUGGGAUGACCAAAUUUUUCUUUGAGAUGAAUGUCUGAUUGCAACUCUAUAUGUUCCAUUUGAUAAUCUGCAAGACGUAUUUAUGUUGAGUGAAAAUGGAGUUGCAAAUAUACCAAAAAUUGAUUAUUUUUUUGAAGUCUUGAA